AUGAAUCAAGAAAUCCUAAUGACCAAGCAAUCAUCACCGACACAGAGUCAGGAAGAACAAGAACAUCCUCAACUGCAUGCCACCGUCGCGCAACAAGGCGGUGGCUCGACACCGUCCGAGUCCAACCACCAGCGCAGGAUCACCAUGAUUCCGCUCGUGUUCCUGAUCUAUUUCGAGGUGGCAGGCGGCCCGUACGGCUCCGAGCAGGCAGUCCGCGCCGCCGGGCCGCUGUUCACUCUACUGGGCUUCCUCGUGUUCCCCUUGGCGUGUGGCGUCCCGGAAUCGCUUGUCACCGCCGAGCUCACCGCCGCGUUCCCGGGGAACGGCGGCUUCGUCCUCUGGGCAGACCACGCCUUCGGCCCGCUGGCAGGCUCGCUCCUCGGCACGUGGAGGUACCUCAGCAUCGUCAUCAACAUCGCCGCCUACCCGGCUCUCGUGGCUGACUAUCUUGGUGGCGUGGUGCCGGCAGUCGCGAGACCCGGCAGGGCGCACAUGGGCACGGUGGUCGGCAUGACGCUUCUCCUCUCCUUGCUGAACUAUGCCGGCCUGAGCGUCGUCGGGUGGGGCGCGACAGCACUGGGGAUAGCCUCCCUGGCCCCGUUCGUGCUGAUGACGGCCAUGGCUGUGCCCAAGGUACGCCCGCGUCGGUGGGCGAAGCAGGUGAAGGGGAGGAAGAAAGACUGGAGGCUGUUCUUCAACACGCUGUUCUGGAACCUCAACUACUGGGACAGCGCGAGCACCAUGGCCGGCGAGGUGGAGCGGCCGGAGCGGACGUUCCCGCGGGCACUUGCAGCAGCGGUCGUUCUGAUUGCCGCCAGUUACCUGCUGCCGCUCAUGGCCGCAACCGGCGCCACGGACGCGUCGCCGGAUGCAUGGGUGAACGGCUACUUGGCUACCGCCGCAGGCAUCAUCGGGGGACCAUGGCUCAAGUACUGGACCGGUGCAGGCGCAGUAAUCUCCUCCAUUGGCAUGUUUGAGGCCCAAAUGAGCAGUGGCGCGUUCCAGCUCCAUGGUAUGGCGGACCGAGGCCUCCUCCCGUCCGUCUUCGGCAGUCGUGCCGCUCGCACCGGCACCCCAUGGGUUGCAAUCACUGCAUCAACCGCUAUCACCAUCGCCGUCUCCUUCCUCGGUUUCGACAACAUCGUCGCAACAUCAAAUUUCCUAUAUAGCCUGGGAACACUACUCGAGUUCUCCUCCAUCCUCUGGCUCCGAGUCAAGUACCCAACACUGAAGCGCCCAUACCAUGUGCCUCUGCCACUGCCCGCGCUCAUAGCCAUGUGCAUUGUGCCAUCGGUAUUCCUAUCUUACGUGUGUGUGGUUGCUGGGUGGAGGGUAUUCACCAUUGCUGCAGGGCUGACCGCGCUCGGUGUCGGGUGGCACGGCCUCAUGAAGCUGUGCAUAUCCAAGAAGUUGCUCAGUUUUCGCGUGCCUGAAUCAUCAUGUUGA
rnacentral:rRNA from 1 species